rnacentral:rRNA from 1 species
UACGUAGGGUGCGAGCGUUAAUCGGAAUUACUGGGCGUAAAGGGUGCGCAGGCGGCUCCGCAUGUCGGGCGUGAAAGCCCCGGGCUCAACCUGGGAAUUGCAUUUGAGACUGAAUAGCUAGGGUGCGGAAGAGGGAAGCGGAAUUCCCGGUGUAGCGGUGAAAUGCGUAGAUAUCGGGAGGAACAUCAGUGGCGAAGGCGGCUGCCUGGCCCAAUACUGACACUCAGGUGCGACAGCGUGGGGAGCAAACAGG